rnacentral:rRNA from 1 species
GUGAAAAAAAUAUUUAGUCUGGCCUGCCCACUGAGUGUUUGAAGGGCCGCGGUAUCUGAACCGUGCUAAGGUAGCAUAAUAAAUAGUCUUUUAAUUGAGGUCUAGUAUGAAUGGUCGGACAGGAAGUAUGCUGUUUUAAUCGCAAAAAAUGAAUUUUACUUUUAAGUGAAAAGGCUUAAAUUUAGUAGUGGGACGAUAAGACCCUAUAAAGCUUUACAUCUCUGUUAUUGGAGUAAAGAAAUUAAGGUGACCUAUCUUCUUUGAUUAGAGUGUUUCGUUGGGGCGACGAGAAUAUAAAUAGUAACUGUUUUUUGGAAAAAACAGAUUUUUUUGGGGAGUUGAUCCUCUAUUGGGAUUAUAAGAAUAAAGUUACUUUAGGGAUAACAGCGUAAUUUUUCUUGAGAGUUCAUAUCGACAGAAGUAGUUGCGACCUCGAUGUUGAAUUAAAGUUUCCCUUAGGUGUAGAAGUUUAAGUGGUGGGUCUGUUCGACCUUUAAAGC